UGAAUGGCGUAAAACAAGCCUCCCAGUGC
rnacentral:piRNA from 1 species